GCUACUAAUGUCUGCUGUGUUGGACAUGAGCAAAUGAAAACUGAGAAAGCCUCAUUGACCUGGCCAGAUCAUUUAAGCCCGUGAAUUUUGGUUUGUCUGAUUCUAGAGCUCAGUCUCCUAACAGCUUUACUGCAUGGGUGGAACAUCCAGAAGUCAUACAGUAAAAGCCAGAAAUCACAAUUUAGCCGUGUGCAAAGGCUCUCGGUGUGUUCCAGACAAGUUCCAGCUUAUCCACUCCUCAUCUGCGGACACCUACACAGCUGAGGAAUUAGGUUCUCCUUCUCUGCCCCCAGCACCCUUCAGUGACUGUGGGAGUUGCAAAGAGUAGGUGGAGCAACGUUCUACCAGUAAAAUGAGGAAGAGGGAUGUGCUCCUCACUUCUAUCGCCUUUUCCUCCGAGGAAGAUUGACAGAAACUGUGUAGUAGAGUGGUGAAAGAACCUAUCUUUUAGAGUUACAGAGAUGUGGGCUCAAAUCCUUGUUCUACCACUUACUGGCUAGGAGAUCUUGAGUGAGUGACUUAACUUCUCUUUCAUGUUCUUCCUCUGUAAAAUGAAUGGCAGACUCAAGACAAACAGCGUUUCAUAAUAUCAAGAAAUGGAAAGCAGCCAAGAUGCUCAUCAACAGACUGUUGGGAAAAAUUACCCAGCAGAGAAAAUGAAUGAACUACAGCUACAUAUGACAAGAUGGAGAGAUCUAAGGAAUAUUAAACAAGAUAAAUAAAUAAGGAAAGUUUGAAAUAAAAAUAGUAUUUAGAUAUGUUAGCAAAAAAUAUAUAAGAAAUACAGAAUUCUGGAAGCAGUUACAUGUGAGAGAGCAGAACUGGAAUGGAGGGAUGCAUGGGUGCAUGAAGGUCAUUGUUUAUGCCCUAGUUCUUGGGUUAGGUAGUUAUUCACUUUAUUAUUUGUAAUAUGAAUAAAUAAAAUAUGAGUGAAAGAGGGUAAUACUUGGAGCAAUAACCUGAACCAA
rnacentral:lncRNA from 1 species